UAACUAAACAUUGGUGUAGUA
rnacentral:miRNA from 1 species